rnacentral:miRNA from 1 species
ACAUGUGGAUUGAAUGAGAUUGGA